AGCAGCCGCGGUAAUUCCAGCUCCAAUAGCGUAUAUUAAAGUUGUUGCAGUUAAAAAGCUCGUAGUUGAAUUUCGGGAUUGACACAUCGGUCGUGCCUUAAGGGGUAUGAACUGGUGUAGUCAGUUUCUCACCUUCUGGAGAACCGCGAUGUCCUUAAUUGGGUGCCGCGAGGAACCAGGACCUUUACUUUGAAAAAAAUUAGAGUGUUUAAAGCAGGCAUUUUGCUUGAAUACAUUAGCAUGGAAUAAUAAAAUAGGACGGAUGGUUCUAUUUUGUUGGUUUCUAGGAUCACCGUUAAUGAUUAAUAGGGAUAGUUGGGGGCAUUAGUAUUCAAUUGUCAGAGGUGAAAUUCUUGGAUUUAUUGAAGACUAACUACUGCGAAAGCAUUUGCCAAGGAUGUUUUCAUUAAUCAAGAACGAAAGUUAGGGGAUCGAAGACGAUCAGAUACCGUCGUAGUCUUAACCAUAAACUAUGCCGACUAGGAAUCAGACGAUGUUAAUUUUUAAUGACUCGUUUGGC
rnacentral:rRNA from 1 species